rnacentral:lncRNA from 1 species
AAGGCAGGAAUAAGGAACAGAUACAUCACUAGCACGCUGGUGGGGUGAGACUCGGCAGACACGGGAAGAGGCUCCUAGGGACAGUUCACCCCAGGCUUACGUCCUCUUCAUGUUCUGGUCUUUCCUUCCAGAGGGACGCCGCGGAAGCGGAGCUGCAGCUGAACCUCGCUGGCGACGGGGCUCCGCGGGUGUGUGUGUGUGUCUGUGUGUGUGUCUGUGUGUGUGUGUGUGUGUGUGUGUGUGUGAGUGACAGAGAGAGGAAAGAGGAGGAGGAAUAUAAAAAAGGAAGGGGAGGAAACGGGGAAAGAAUGGAAGGAAAAAAGAGAGCGAGGAAGACAAAAGGAGAGGAAGCUGCAGGAGGAAGGCUCUUAACUUGCGGACACUUAGCUCCUUUGCUCUGUGCGCAGAGAGAGGGAGAGAAAGAAAAGAGCGAAGGAGAGCCAGCUGUGAGUGCGUUUCCCGUUCCUGGCUCCUCCUAGGAGGCCUCGGCCUCAGUUCUGCAUAUUUUACUCCCGCGCUGGGAAACCCUAAACGACUCCAGCAGCCCGGCGCGCAGGGCUGUAACCUUCCCCCGUUCUCACGGAGACGCAGAGGCGAGGCCGUCCAGGUGCGGCCGGGAUCUCCAGGAGUGCCCGGUUUCCCUAACCUCCACCCCAGGUCCCAGGCAGGACCCCAGGCUGCGCUGGCAGGCAGACCCCGCCUCGGGCUGCUCUUUCCUGCGCUGUCGACCGCGAGGGCGUCUACCAGCUGCACGUCCAGGUGACCCUGGCCAGGUGCUGCUCCCAAGGGACACCAGGCACCGCAAUGCCACCCUGGCCGUGGGGCUCUGAACCCCGCCCCCCACAGAGUCAGCCUGCUGCGCCUGGGCUUGUCCAGGCCUGCACUGUGGCCUCUCAGCGCCUGACGCCCUCUGCGCCAACCUCAGCCCCCAGCGCCUGCCCUCCCCCAACACCGACAAGAACUUCUUGGGCAUCCACUCCUGACCACCCCCGGCUCGGCUGCUCUGCUUCUGUUUUCUGUAAAUGAAUGUGUUUUUCAAUUUCACCUUGACUUGCAUAUUUGAUGGGUGAGUCAAUGCCGGCACAGCUGGCUUAGAUGGGCAGGAGACGCCUCAGUGUUCCCAGGGCACCAAAAACAAACGCAGCCUGGUGUGGUAGCCUACUUCUCUUGCCAGCAACUCAGGAGGCUGAGGCAGGAGGAUCGUAAAUCCAGGGCAGGCCUGGGCAACGAAUGACUUAGGGAGACACUGUCUCCAAAAAUCAAAAUGGGUCGGGGGUAGAGUUCAGUGAUAGAGCGCCCCUGGGCUUGGUGCCAGUAAAAAAUAAAAAUUAUAAACCCACGCAAAGAACCUAAAGCAAAAUGAUGCGUAAAUAUGGUGUAAAAUCACAGGAAAAAAGAACAUUAAACAAGUAAAGGAUAUAAAUACGGAGAAGUGAUGACACAGGCCUCUUGACCCUGCAUUCUGGGAGGCUGAGACAGGAGAGGCCCAAGUUUGAGCCCAGCCUGGGCAACUUAGCAACUUAGCAAGACCCUGUCUCAAAAUAAAAAAUAAAAAAGGCCUGGGUUCAAUUUCGGGUAAAGAGACAGAGAGGGAGAGAGAGAGGGAGGGAGGGAGAGAGAGAGAGAGAGAGGGAGAGGAUACAUAGAGAGUAUUUAAUAAUAGUGUACCAUACUAAAACUGGAUAAAGAUAAUAGAAGAGAAAAGUAUGAACAUAAGAAUUUGUUUAAUAAAACAAACUAUUAGAAGUCAGAUCUGGCAGUAUGUAGUAAGUGGUUUUAUUAUAGGGAUGGCAGUGUGGGUUCAGCAUUGGAAGAUCCACCCCCAUAAGGCAUCAUUUUAACAAAGGAAAGGAAAAAGCCAUAUGAUCCUGUCACUAGUUGGAGAAAAAGGUAUCGGACUAAAUUCCACAGAUGUUCAUGUUAAAAGCUAUUAGGAGACUAGAAGUAGAACAGAACCUUUUCAACAGAUUAAAGACUUGUACUCCAUACUUCCAGCAAAAACACCUUAUAUGAAUGGAAAAGAUACAAUGUUGAUUUCCUAAAAUGAGGGAAAUGUUUCUUCUUUUCUCUGCUUUAAAUGUUUGAUAUAAUUCGUCAGUUAAAAUGUAUAUGACCCUGUUUUAUAGGUAGGUUUUCAAGCUAGGAAUAUACUUUCUUUAAUAGGUGCUAUUCAAAUUUUAUAUUUCUUCCAGAGUCAGUUUCAUUAAUUUGUCUUCCAAGGUACUUCUUAGAAGUUGUCAGAUUUAUUUCAAAAAAGAUUUUUGUAAUAUGCUUUCGAUAUUCUUUUAAAUUCAGCAAAAUCUGUGGUAAUGUUCUCUAAAUCUUGAUAUUGUAAUUUUUUAAAAAAAUGUAUAAUUGAUAUUGUGUAAUAGGAAGAAAAGGUCUAAAGGAGUAGGGG